rnacentral:lncRNA from 1 species
AGAUCCUUGGCCAAACAACGCGGAUUGCAGUUCAUUUCAAAGUUUUGCUACUGUUCCUGAUUCAUUUCAUUGUGAUCAGAAAAGCUACUUGGUUUUGGUAUCAGGAUGACGCUGGCAUCAUAAAAUGAGUAUUUUUCUAUCGACUUCAGACUACUGUGCUGGAAGCAAGAAUUUCAAGCAUUGGAUCUUAGCUUGCUGGGCUCCAUAGGGGUGGGAUCCACUGAGCUAGACCACUUGGCUCCCUGGCUUCAGCCCCCUUCCAGAUGUCCUUGGCGUGUACACCCUGUGGAAUCUGGUUCAUCUCCAAUCUGUCAGAAGGCAUCAGAGGUGGUUUUGAUUCCUUAUGUCUUGGACCUGUGCACAAAAAGUGUAAAAUGGAUGGAACAUCAGACAGCUCAUUAUAGAGACAAGUAAGCUCCAGUUCCAAAGUUGGUUGACAGAACAAGUCAUGACCUUGUGUGGAGGAAAAUGAGAUCCCGAGUGAAGUCUACAAUGUCAUUGACGCUGAAGAAGGACUCAGAGACCCAUUGGUGUUUAAUGACCCUUACUGGCCUAUGCAAUGGAAACUGAUCUUGAGUGUGCCUUAAAAUUCCAUUUCAUGGAGAGCUGUGCGUGGUUGAAUUUUGAUUG